rnacentral:lncRNA from 1 species
CCAUCUAAUCGAGACUCAUGAUAGAGGAACUAAAUCACAUGUUAACUACAACUAGAGGUUUAUUUCAGUUCUACUAGAUUGUCUCUACAUACUGCUAGGUGUCACUGAUGGAUUGUGAGAGCUCACUAGGAUUGUUCUGGAUCAGCAAUUCUUACUGAGUUAAAGUGAAAUUAUUUCAACCCAUUGAAAAGAGUUUCAAUGAUACUUUAAUAGAGAU